rnacentral:lncRNA from 1 species
ACUUCAGCUGCAUGAUUGCAGAGCUGUGCUAGCAUGAGGACAAUGCACAGGUCUUUCCCCCCUCGCUCUGCCUUGCCCAACUUCAAAUGGGUCUCCUACAAGGAAAGGGAAGUGGCCGAAGUUUGUGUCAUGAGAAAAAAUGCCCCAGGAAGGAGAAACAAGGCAGUCUUCCAAGUCUCCCUUGAAAAAUAAGAGCCCAGGAAUACCUGAGAAGAAGUCUAAAUGGCCCAAACCCCACGGGCUGCCCCAUGGCUCCCAGGUGCCGAGGCUUGCUCCGCAGUUUCGCUUCAUCUGUGCCUCUCAGUCAAUACAUUCCUCUGGGGGAAAAUUGUAGUUCUGAGGAUUUCCAAAUAGCGCCUAGGCCAUCUGUUCCUUCUGAGUAUCUCCUCUCCUUCAGCAUAAGGAAACUCUAAUUGGGGGAACCUUUGCCCUUCUCCUUUUCGCUUUUUCUAUGAACAUGUGCAGAUGAAGACAGACCGCAGCAUCUCUGUUCAUCUGUAGUCAGAUCUCUCGACACGAUGCACAGAUCAGGCAGGAAGGGCUCAGGGACUUGAAGAGGCAUGGGCAGUGAUACCAGAGGGAAUAUACCCUGCUUUGGGAUGGUUCUGGCAGGUGACUUCAGACUGCUCCUUGAAAGAUGGAGAGAUUGGGAUAUAGGGAGACUGAGGGGAGGAAGAUCUUGCAGGUAAAGGGACCAGUAUGAGGGUGAG